AACGAACGCUGGCGGCGUGCCUAACACAUGCAAGUCGUACGCGAAAGGGGGCAACCCCCGGUAGCGUGGCAGACGGGUGAGUAACACGUGGGUAAUCUGCCCCGAGGUGGGGAAUAACUUUCCGAAAGGAAGGCUAAUACCGCAUGACAUCGUGGAGUCCUUGGACUCUGCGAUCAAAGCUGGCCUCUGUUUACAAGCUAGCGCCACGGGAGGAGCCCGCGCCCCAUUAGCUAGUUGGUGAGGUAACGGCUCACCAAGGCAACGAUGGGUAGCCGGCCUGAGAGGGUAAGCGGCCACACUGGAACUGAGACACGGUCCAGACUCCUGCGGGAGGCAGCAGUGAGGAAUAUUGCGCAAUGGGCGAAAGCCUGACGCAGCGACGCCGCGUGGAGGAUGAAGGUCUUCGGAUUGUAAACUCCUGUCGUGCGGGACGAAUGCCUCGGUCGCUAAUAUCGGCCGGGGUUGACGGUACCGCAGGAGGAAGCCCCGGCUAACUCCGUGCCAGCCGCCGCCGUAAUAC
rnacentral:rRNA from 1 species